rnacentral:rRNA from 1 species
GACGAACGCUGGCGGCGUGCUUAACACAUGCAAGUCGAACGGACAGGCCCUGCUUUUGUGGGGUGCUCGAGUGGCGAACGGGUGAGUAACACGUGAGUAACCUGCCCUUGACUUUGGGAUAACUUCUGGAAACUGGGGCUAAUACCGGAUAGGAGCUCCUGCUGCAUGGUGGGGGUUGGAAAGUUUCGGCGGUUGGGGAUGGACUCGCGGCUUAUCAGCUUGUUGGUGGGGUAGUGGCUUACCAAGGCUUUGACGGGUAGCCGGCCUGAGAGGGUGACCGGCCACAUUGGGACUGAGAUACGGCCCAGACUCCUACGGGAGGCAGCAGUGGGGAAUAUUGCACAAUGGGCGGAAGCCUGAUGCAGCAACGCCGCGUGCGGGAUGACGGCCUUCGGGUUGUAAACCGCUUUCGCCUGUGACGAAGCGUGAGUGACGGUAAUGGGUAAAGAAGCACCGGCUAACUACGUG